GAGCACCAAAAGAUCAUGGCGGGCACCAAAGCUCUGCGAGUUUCUAGAGUGAAGAAGGCCUUCAUCUGGUACACUGUAACAUUUGGAAUGUAUGAAGGCGAGAUUUGGGAGGUCUGUCUCGCAAACAUCGUGCUCGCUCUUGCGUUUCUCCCGCCCCUCUAUCUCAUCCACAAGCACGCCAUUAGAUUACUGGUAAGCGAGGUUAUUAGGCCGUGGGACAAGGUGUUAGUGCUGUCGCUGGGAGCCCUAAGCGUUUGGAUGCUCGCGUUGGCAAUGCCCACCAGGUUGAUGCCGCCACCGCCAUCGCCACCGCCACUGCAAAAUUCGUGCGCUCUCAGCAGCAGCGCUAGCGCGUCUUUGAUCUUCCCGGUGCGUCACAGCGUCGCGGGGCUUCGAUUCGGCACGAGAUUCAAGCAUGCUUAUACUUCUCUCAGUUUUGCCGCGCUCGUCGCGUCGCGAGCUUCCAUCCCUCGCUGGAAUCGCUGCAAUCGGGUCUUUGCCGCCUCGUUCCAAGCGAAGGCUGUUGCAAAUCCAGUGGAAGUCGAGAGUGGCUUCGAUGAAAUGGUCGCUGGCACCAAACGAAAAUACUUCAUGCUAGGUGGCAAAGGCGGCGUGGGAAAGACGAGCUUAGCUGCGUCUCUUGCUGUAAAAUUCGCAAACAGUGGCCACACUACACUCGUUGUGUCGACGGAUCCCGCUCAUUCACUUAGCGAUUCCUUUGCACAGGACUUAAGUGGUGGCAAACUCGUUCCUGUUGAAGGCCCGGACAGUCCUUUAUUCGCCUUGGAGAUCAAUCCUGAGCAAGCGAGAUCGGAAUUUCGUGCUGCUGCUCAGACAGGUAGUGGAACUGGCGUCAAAGACUUUAUGGACAGCUUUGGCCUUGGUGGAUGGGUAGAACAGAUCAGCGAACUUAAGCUCGGAGAAUUACUGGACACUCCUCCGCCUGGACUAGACGAAGCCAUUGCCAUAUCAAAGGUCGUCCAAUUUAUGCAAUCCCCGGAGUACGAUCGUUUUACUCGCAUUAUCUUCGACACUGCACCCACUGGGCAUACCUUGCGAUUAUUGUCGCUACCGGACUUUUUGGAUGCAUCAAUUGGGAAACUCCUCAAGCUCAAGCAGAAGCUCGCUUCCGCCACCAAUGCGAUUAAAUCGGUUUUCGGCCAAGGAGAUGGAUCAGACACGGCUACCAACAGACUAGAGCAACUUAAAGAGAGGAUGGUCAUGGUCCGUGAGAUUUUCCGAAAUAAAGAAGCAACGGAGUUCGUCAUUGUCACCAUCCCAACGGUGAUGGCCGUAAGCGAGAGUUCCAGGCUCAAGCAAUCCCUCGAGAAGGAAGGCGUUCCUGUGAAGAGAUUGAUUGUAAACCAGGUACUGGCUGCCUCACAAUCGGACUGCAAAUUCUGCUCCAUGCGUCGAAAGGACCAGAGCCGAGCAUUCGAUAUCAUCAAUAGCGACCAGAACCUCAAGGAUCUCCAGCUUAUUCAAUCGCCACUGAUGGAUGUGGAAAUUAGAGGCGUACCGGCGCUCAGGUUCGUGGGCGAUACAGUCUGGCGAUAAGUGAAAGGUACAAGCAUCUCUAAAACUCUUAUCGCUGGUUCGCGUCUCAACAGGAAAAACCAACACCAAGAGCGAGAGAAAACGGAGGAGAGAACAAAGAAAGUGUACAGUGGCAUGGAACUUUUAAUAACUGGAUCACUUGGUCCACGAUUCUUAAAGCUUUUUUUGCUGCGUUUUAUAACCUGGGAGAUUUGACCAAGGCUCCCCGCCUUUUUAUCCCAGUUCGCCUCCUCAUUGCGGGAUGAUCUCAGCACAAAACUUUGGAGCGCGAGAUCAUUGGGAUGAAUGAAAUAGCUAUCUUUCUAGAGACCA